UGGAUAGUAAAAGUUACUUGGAUAACUGCGGUAAUUCUGGAGCUAAUACAUGCACAAAGCCUUGACCUUACGGGAUAGGCGCUUUUAUUAGAUCAAAACCAAACGGCUUCGGCUGUAUCUUGGUGACUCUGAAUAACUUUGGGCUGAUCGCAUAGCCUAGCGCUGGCGACAUAUCCUUCGAAGGUGUGCCCUAUCAACUGUCGACUGUGGCAUAGACGCCCACAGUGGUUUUGACGGGUAACGGGGAAUCAGGGUUCGAUUCCGGAGAGGGAGCCUUAAAAACGGCUACCACAUCUAAGGAAGGCAGCAGGCACGCAAAUUACCCAAUGACCGAAGGUCGAGGUAGUGACGAAAAAUAACGAUAGCGGACUCAUCCGAGGCCCGCUAAUUGGAAUGAGUACACUUUAAAACCGUCCCCGAGGAUCUAUUGGAGGGCAAGUCUGGU
rnacentral:rRNA from 1 species